AUUCCAGCUCCAAUAGCGUAUAUUUAAGUUGUUGCAGUUAAAAAGCUCGUAGUUGGAUUUCGGGUGUCAUCUGCCGGUCCGCCGUUUCGGUGUGCACUGGCGGGCGUCAUCUUUCUGUCGAGGACGCGCUCCUGUCCUUCACUGGUCGGGACGCGGAGUCGGCGAGGUUACUUUGAAAAAAUUAGAGUGUUCAAAGCGGGCUUACGCUUGAAUAUAUUAGCAUGGAAUAACACUAUAGGACUCCUGUCCUAUUUUGUUGGUCUUCGGGACGGGAGUAAUGAUUAAGAGGAACAGUUGGGGGCAUUCGUAUUUCAUUGUCAGAGGUGAAAUUCUUGGAUUUAUGAAAGACGAACUUCUGCGAAAGCAUAUGCCAAGGAUGUUUUCAUUA
rnacentral:rRNA from 1 species